CGGAAGCAUCUCCGUUGGUCCUCUAUAGUCUAUCCUUAAAUCAAUCAGUCUACAAUAAGGGCUCUUCCAUCUCAUAUUCCUUCUUAUCCUACAAACUACCUUCUCAUUUUCAAAUCUCUUCGCCUUUCAGAUCUCUCUUCAACUUCAGGAGGAUUCAGUAACAGUUUAUGGCUAUAAAAUCCCCGGGUCAAGUGGUUUCGUUGGAUCUAUUCAGGGAGUUGCUCAUUGCUAUUUCGCAGUCUGAACCUGAAAAGCUGUUUAGUUCAAGGUCACUGUAUGAGCAUUGUAAAGGCUUAAAUGGUGCUAAUAAGGUGAGGGACGAGGACAUAACUGAAGAGUUAAGGUCAAAAUUGAUCUCGAUUUCUUGUGAAUUGUCUGCAGAUAACAUCAUUCCACCAUCAAUGGGCAUGCAGGAGGUUUAAUGUUGAUGUCUUUAGGAGUCAUUAGGUCUGCUGAUAGUCUGAUACUCUGUAUUUUCUAAUUUGUUGUGGUAACAUUGCCAUUUUAGCAGGGAUGUAUGGCUCAAAUGUAAACAUUUUCCUGCUGUUUCAUUUAGUACUCUCCAACUCUAUGGCAGUUGUGAAGUUCAAAAGCGUAGAGUGAUGAUGUAUAGAUUGUCACCUUUAAAUAUUAAAUCGAAGAAAUUUGAUGCCUUACUGCCAAAGCUUUUGCAAUAAAAAGACCUGAAGUGGAAAUUUGGAA